GGAUGAACGCUAGCUACAGGCUUAACACAUGCAAGUCGAGGGGAAACGAUAGGGAAAGCUUGCUUUUCCUAGGCGUCGACCGGCGCACGGGUGAGUAACGCGUAUCCAACCUGCCCAUGUCUGGGGAAUAACCCGUCGAAAGGCGGACUAACUCCCCAUGGUCUCCGAUGAGGACAUCUGAAUUGGAGUAAAGCUUUGCGGACAUGGAUGGGGAUGCGUCUGAUUAGGUAGUAGGCGGGGUAACGGCCCACCUAGCCUACGAUCAGUAGGGGUUCUGAGAGGAAGGUCCCCCACAUUGGAACUGAGACACGGUCCAAACUCCUACGGGAGGCAGCAGUGAGGAAUAUUGGUCAAUGGACGAGAGUCUGAACCAGCCAAGUAGCGUGCAGGAUGACGGCCCUAUGGGUUGUAAACUGCUUUUGCGCGGGGAUAACACCCUCCACGUGCUGGAGGUCUGCAGGUACCGCGCGAAUAAGGACCGGCUAAUUCCGUGCCAGCAGCCGCGGUAAUACGGAAGGUCCGGGCGUUAUCCGGAUUUAUUGGGUUUAAAGGGAGCGUAGGCCGUGAGGUAAGCGUGUUGUGAAAUGUAGGCGCCCAACGUCUGCACUGCAGCGCGAACUGCCCCACUUGAGUGCGCGCAACGCCGGCGGAACUCGUCGUGUAGCGGUGAAAUGCUUAGAUAUGACGAAGAACCCCGAUUGCGAAGGCAGCUGGCGGGAGCGUAACUGACGCUGAAGCUCGAAAGCGCGGGUAUCGAACAGGAUUAGAUACCCUGGUAGUCCGCGCGGUAAACGAUGGAUGCCCGCUGUGACGCGCCUGGCGUGCCGCGGCUAAGCGAAAGCAUUAAGCAUCCCACCUGGGGAGUACGCCGGCAACGGUGAAACUCAAAGGAAUUGACGGGGGCCCGCACAAGCGGAGGAACAUGUGGUUUAAUUCGAUGAUACGCGAGGAACCUUACCCGGGCUUGAACUGCAGGAGAACGAUUCAGAGAUGAUGAGGUCCUUCGGGACUCCUGUGGAGGUGCUGCAUGGUUGUCGUCAGCUCGUGCCGUGAG
rnacentral:rRNA from 1 species